rnacentral:rRNA from 1 species
CAAAGGAUCUCGUUGGUGACCAGCGGAGGGUCAUUACCGAGUUUACAACUCCCAAACCCAAUGUGAACGUUACCAAACUGUUGCCUCGGCGGGGUCACGCCCCGGGUGCGUCGCAGCCCCGGAACCAGGCGCCCGCCGGAGGAACCAACCAAACUCUUUCUGUAGUCCCCUCGCGGACGUAUUUCUUACAGCUCUGAGCAAAAAUUCAAAAUGAAUCAAAACUUUCAACAACGGAUCUCUUGGUUCUGGCAUCGAUGAAGAACGCAGCGAAAUGCGAUAAGUAAUGUGAAUUGCAGAAUUCAGUGAAUCAUCGAAUCUUUGAACGCACAUUGCGCCCGCCAGUAUUCUGGCGGGCAUGCCUGUCCGAGCGUCAUUUCAACCCUCGAACCCCUCCGGGGGAUCGGCGUUGGGGAUCGGGACCCCUCACACGGGUGCCGGCCCCGAAAUACAGUGGCGGUCUCGCCGCAGCCUCUCCUGCGCAGUAGUUUGCACAACUCGCACCGGGAGCGCGGCGCGUCCACGUCCGUAAAACACCCAACUUUCUGAAAUGUUGACCUCGGAUCAGGUAGGAAUACCCGCUGAACUUAAGCAUAUCAAUAAGCGGAGGA